rnacentral:rRNA from 1 species
AUUGAACGCUGGCGGCAGGCUUAACACAUGCAAGUCGAGCGGGGGAAGGUAGCUUGCUACCGGACCUAGCGGCGGACGGGUGAGUAAUGCUUAGGAAUCUGCCUAUUAGUGGGGGACAACAUCUCGAAAGGGAUGCUAAUACCGCAUACGUCCUACGGGAGAAAGCAGGGGAUCUUCGGACCUUGCGCUAAUAGAUGAGCCUAAGUCGGAUUAGCUAGUUGGUGGGGUAAAGGCCUACCAAGGCGACGAUCUGUAGCGGGUCUGAGAGGAGGAUCGGCCACACUGGGAAUGAGACACGGCCCAGACUCCUACGGGAGGCAGCAGUGGGGAAUAUUGGACAAUGGGGGGAACCCUGAUCCAGCCAUGCCGCGUGUGUGAAGAAGGCCUUAUGGUUGUAAAGCACUUUAAGCGAGGAGGAGGCUACUCUAGUUAAUACCUAGGGAUAGUGGACGUUACUCGCAGAAUAAGCACCGGCUAACUCUGUGCCAGCCGCCGCCGUAA